GCAUUGAUGGUGUAGCGGUAACAUUGGGUCUUCCCAUUCGUCUUCUUGAUGUUGGUCGGUCUGGCCUAGCUCCGGGUUCGACUCCCGGUCAAUGCA